rnacentral:rRNA from 1 species
UACAUGGGGUGCAAACGUUGCUCGGAAUUAUUGGGCGUAAAGCGCACGUAGGCGGCUUUGUAAGUUAGAGGUGAAAGCCUGGAGCUCAACUCCAGAACUGCCUUUAAGACUGCAUCGCUUGAAUCCAGGAGAGGUGAGUGGAAUUCCGAGUGUAGAGGUGAAAUUCGUAGAUAUUCGGAAGAACACCAGUGGCGAAGGCGGCUCACUGGACUGGUAUUGACGCUGAGGUGCGAAAGCGUGGGGAGCAAACAGG